rnacentral:rRNA from 1 species
CCUUUACACUGCACGCGAGUGCGAUACGGGGACUCCAAGUGCGAGGGCAUACAGUCCUCGCUUUCACCACCGUACGGAGGUGGUAGAAUAAGUGCUGGGCAAGACCGGUGCCAGCCGCCGCGGUACUACCGGCAGCACGAGUCAUCACCGCUAUUAUUGGGCCUAAAGCGUCCGUACCUGGCCAGGCAAGUCCGUCGGGAAAUCUCCCCGCCCAACGGGGAGGCGUCCGGUGGAAACUGUCUGGCUUGGGACCGGAAGACCAGAGGGGUACGUCCGGGGUACGAGUCAAAUCCCGUAAUCCUGGACGGACCACCGGUGGCGAAAGCGCCUCUGGAAGACGGAUCCGACGGUGAGGGACGAAAGCUCGGGUCACGAACCGGAUUAGAUACCCGCGUAGUCC